GACGAACGCUGGCGGCGUGCUUAACACAUGCAAGUCGAACGGAAAGGCCCUGCUUUUGUGGGGUGCUCGAGUGGCGAACGGGUGAGUAACACGUGAGUAACCUGCCCUUGACUUUGGGAUAACUCCAGGAAACUGGGGCUAAUACCGGAUAGGAGCUCCUGCUGCAUGGUGGGGGUUGGAAAGUUUCGGCGGUUGGGGAUGGACUCGCGGCUUAUCAGCUUGUUGGUGGGGUAGUGGCUUACCAAGGCUUUGACGGGUAGCCGGCCUGAGAGGGUGACCGGCCACAUUGGGACUGAGAUACGGCCCAGACUCCUACGGGAGGCAGCAGUGGGGAAUAUUGCACAAUGGGCGGAAGCCUGAUGCAGCAACGCCGCGUGCGGGAUGACGGCCUUCGGGUUGUAAACCGCUUUCGCCUGUGACGAAGCGUGAGUGACGGUAAUGGGUAAAGAAGCACCGGCUAAUUACGUG
rnacentral:rRNA from 1 species